AACGCACAUUGCGCCCCCUGGUAUUCCGGGGGGCAUGCCUGUCCGAGCGUCAUUGCAACCUUCAAGCGCGGCUUGUGUGUUGGGCUUCGUCCCCCGUGGACGGGCCUGAAAGGCAGUGGCAGCGCCCGAAUCUGGUGCCUGAGCGUAUGGGAAUCUUCUUUCCGCUCGAUGUGGCCCAGCGGACGCUGGUCUUCUCAACCAGUGGAUCUUGCAUCCUCUCCUCGGUUGACCUCGGAUCAGGUAGGGAUACCCGCUGAACUUAA
rnacentral:misc_RNA from 1 species